CAUAAUAUUAUUAUAUGAUAUAAUAAAUCUUCUUAUAUCAAGGAAUAAGUAGACUUAUCAAUGCAUUGAGAAGGAAGAAGGAAAGGGCACCAAAGGAACUUCAAGAUAACCUUCUAACAUUUCCAUGACCAUCUUCAUUGUAGGCCUAUUUGAAGGAUCCUCUUGAAUGCACCAAAUGGCUAUCAUCACCCACUUGUGCAGCUUGUCUGCAUCGUCCAUUGCAACCUUGUCGUUCUCCACCAGAAGGUCAAGUCUACCUCCCACAUAGCAAUCAUGGGCCCAAUCAGUGAGUGUUGCCUUU
rnacentral:misc_RNA from 1 species